rnacentral:lncRNA from 1 species
GCUUCAUCAAAGUAUUUCGGAAGAAAAUCAAAAAGAAAAAAAAUUAAUGCAUCACGUCGCAUAUUGAAGAAGCGAUCUGCUGGUAAUUGCAUUUCCAGCCUCCUUGGGCAUAAUGCCUACAACUUUCAUAUAUGAUGUUUUCAGCGCACUAUCGUCUUGUGCAUUUUGAGGUUUAUGCAGUAAACUGUACAAGUACAAAAUGUGGAACUGUAGAAGGCCACAAGCCAUGGCUUCUAUAGUACCAUCUUCAAAUGCUGGUGUACUGUUGGUGCCACCACAAUAUCAUUCAAUCUACUGCAACUCCAAACCAAAGGAGCUAGGCUUUGAAGUUCCUAGGUUCGAAAUUUUAAGACUUUUAAGUUAUUGGAUUUUGAAUUAAUAAUUUGUAUAUUAAAUAGAUUUUUAAGACAAAUACAAGGUUUGAACUAAAGUAACUGAAUUCGACCGAACACGUUCCAUCAAUGCUAACUCCGUCGCCGCUUCAAACUAGUUAUCAUUAUCUAUACGAAUUCUAUGAAGCAUCCUAAUUUGAUUAUAUGCUAACCAUUGAUUUACGAUAAUGGUUGCUCCUUUAUCCAAAUUUAUUGUGAAAUUUAUUCGAGCAAUGAAACCUUGAAAAGUUCGUAAUUAUGCAGUGUCUUCCUUCUCCAUUUUGUUUUGUGCCUCCCAUAUUAAUAAAAAAUGGACUUAAUAUGUGGUCCGCUUGAAACAUAAUCAGCUCCACAUCAAGUCAGAAGGCCAUCCAAGGAAGUACAACCCGAGUAAUCAUCGGGAUCCACCAGUGUCAUUCCGGAGGUAACCAUUAUGAGUCCGGGACAGUGAUCGAAUCUGGAAACACUGUCCGAGUAAAGUAUCUCCGUAUAAGAAUAUCCCGAGGCAACUAUUCUAGGACAAGCUAACCAACCGACCAGCGGUUACAGAAUUAACUCAGCAGUUAUGGAAAUCCAACAUUAGCUCAGCAUUUACAAGUCUUUCAAAAAUAAUAAAUGGACUGAAAAAAUGGACUCAUGAUUCAAGGGAAGUGGUUAUCUGAGUAUUGCUAUAAAUAGGUACAUUUUACCACCAUUGUAAUGAUCUAAUUUCGAUUCUCUACAAUUCAAAACGUUGUAAUUCAUAGAAAAUUUGCUUCAUAGUUGGCUAUAAUUCGGCUCAUCAAGCUCUAUUGGUUCACUCAUCAUAUCAAGG